CUGUGACGUGUCUGAGUGCGCAGCAAAGGCACUUAAUGUUGCCUGAUCUUCACACAUGCAAAUUCUUUCCAAGCGGCUCUGGCAGCAGGGAGGAAUACCAGUAAUUAGUCUUUCCAGGCCAUUUGGGAGUUGUUGAUUGCUGCCGACUGGCAGACUUAUCUCAAGAAGAUUGUUAGGUCCUGUGACAUCAUAGAGACUACAAUAUCGGAUAUUUGGAAAUGAGCAGUAAAUCAUAGAAAAACAAGAUUUCCACAACUUCAAGCAAAGCAUGCCAGACCAGAAAAAUGCAGGUGCCUGACAAGUGUUCAGACUCUGAAAAUAAGAGCUGCUUUUUCCUCAGCUUGAUGAAAAAGGUGCAGCACAGCAGGAGGAGUUAGGCUGCAUCCACGUUCUCAGAAGUCUGGCUUCUGCUUCCUGAAGCUCAUAACCUGCUCAAUGAAUUCUCUUUGCAUUUGGAAGCUUUAUGUUAGUAGCUGUUAAAACAAGACAUCUUUACAUUCAAAGUAAUCUGAAAUAUGUGACACUCAAUUUUCCUAUAAUGUAUAAUGGAGAUAAUUUAGUGCAUUGGCUAACACCAUGUACAUAUCACUUCUGUGACACUGGAGCACUAGUGUAUCAUAAUACAUUAUCUUCAAAGAAUUUACACUUGCAGGUACCUUAAAAUGUUCCAUGCUAGCACAGUAUGACUCCACUGUUGUCUUGUGUAUUUUCUAUGCAAUAUAUCCACUGAAUAUAUCCACGUACAAAUAUUUGAGACUAACAAUUUAGUACCCUAAAAAGGUAAUUGCUGUUGUUACUCCAUUAGCAUAAACUGUGCCUCCCAUGUUUACA